UAAUGUAGGUAAGGGAAGUCGGCAAAUUAGAUCCGUAACUUUGGGAUAAGAAUUGGCUCUGAAGACUGGGAUGACUCGGGCUAUAAUCGGCAAUAUUACCAUGCGUGCCGUACCGUUGACUGAAAACAUUCUUGAUGCUACUAUUUUGGCAUUGUAAUUUUGACCACGUUUAUCUAAGCGGCUUUCAAGUCGACGUGAACGACGAUUUUAGAGUAGCUAGUAUUAAAACAUUUGACACUCUAUUUCCAA
rnacentral:rRNA from 1 species